rnacentral:rRNA from 1 species
UACAGAGGUCCCAAGCGUUGUUCGGAUUUACUGGGCGUAAAGGGUGCGUAGGUGGUGAGGUAAGUCUGAUGUGAAAUCUCCGAGCUUAACUCGGAAAUGGCAUUGGAAACUACCUUGCUAGAGGGUUGGAGGGGGGACUGGAAUACUUGGUGUAGCAGUGAAAUGCGUAGAUAUCAAGUGGAACACCAGUGGCGAAGGCGAGUCCCUGGUCAACUCCUGACACUGAGGCACGAAAGCUAGGGGAGCAAACAGG